rnacentral:rRNA from 1 species
AUUGAACGCUGGCGGCAGGCCUAACACAUGCAAGUCGAGCGGGGUUUUCGGACCUAGCGGCGGACGGGUGAGUAAUGCGUAGGAAGCUGCCCGAUAGAGGGGGAUACCAGUUGGAAACGACCUGUUAAUACCGCAUAAUCUCUUAGGAGGAAAGCUGGGGACCGUAAGGCCUGGCGCUUUAAGGGUAGCCUGCGUCCGAU